rnacentral:lncRNA from 1 species
CUGGUGCAGCAUGACCCUUAGAGAGCACAAAACGGUCGUUGUUGGCAUUCCUGGGAUCUUGUACCUUAUACCUCAUGGUAUGGAAAAACAGCACAGACAUAAUCUCUGCUGCGCUGCAACAUGAUGUAGGGUGGCCCGAGCCGGCCGCGGUCGUGGCCUUGAUGGAGCCGAUGCGCAGCCGGUUGGCCGUGUCCUUCAGGGCCUGCAGGGUCUGCUGGUCGGGUUUGUGGUAGUCCUCCAUGGGGCCGAAGGAGAGGCGGCGAGGCUCGUGCGGCAGUGGCUGCUGGGGCUGGGCAGGGACGGCGGUGCUCCGCAAGGGCUGUGAGCAGCGCGCCUCAGAGGGACUGCGUGCUGAGGGCGGGGAGAAAGAGGGCCGGGCCGCCCCGCCUCCCUGCGCCGGCACAGCGCCCCCUGCCGGCGGGAGGCGGCGUCAGGCAGCUGCGCGCAGGCGCAGUAUGAUCUACUUCUCCCUCCCGUCUGCGAGAAGGCGGGAAGUAGUGGCUCUUCACAGUUGCGCGCGGUAGGCCGCAUCUGGAAGCCUCCCCUCAGCGCUCGGAAGGACCAACUCAAGCUUUUCCAUCGUUCAAUCCUUGUUAGACAAAGCUAUUCUAAGGCUGUAUUUGUUUGAGAAAGAAUAUCACUGCAUCAAGUACGAUCUUCUACAGACAGGAGAAACUGUAGCAGAACUGCUAUAUGCUAUUUCUUUUCAAGAAAGAAUUCACAGUUCUCUAAUACAUACCCAAAAAUCAGAGCUUUCCACAUUUGAGAAAUAUAGAAACUUCAGCUUAAAAUACUGACUUCACCAGCUAUCGAUCAGAAAAUACGUUGCCUCUAGCACUGCUGAACAGGAGGAUGCCAAAAUAAUUAAAGCUACAGCCUUAAGUGAGCGCAUUAAAUAUUACAUACUUGUUCUAGAAAGCUCUGGGAGUAUUAGAAGUCACAAUCUGAGGAAAAAGAAAGCAGUUUAAAACCACAGAAAACAAAAAAAAUGAAGUACUCCAUGCUCAAGAAAUCCUUAUCUGUGCUCUGCGUUCUCAAAGGAUUUCAGCGCUGCAUUCAGUGAUAGUUUGUCUCAGCAGCUGUAUUACAGUGUUUGAAAAGGUAAUAUAUUUUAAACCAUGUUUUAAAUAUAAACAGUUACACCGUGGAUAUAAUGUUGCUGUCUCGUUUUGGAAGACACUACUGGUGGGUACUGUAUAAGAAAACAGCACAUUUGCUUUCAAGACUACCUGUUUCAGCAACAAGGAAACCACCUGUGUUAGUAAUGUAGCCGUGUGCGUUUGGCAAAUGCCAGCUGGUCAGCAGCACCUGAAACUGACCAAGGGAAGGCAAAAUAUUCCUCCAUAAACAAAGCAGUUUAUUGGUGUAAUUUUGUUGUUGUUGUUGCUAUUCUAACUGUUACAAACAAGAAACAACAACAACAACAAAAACCUCUGAGUAGAUACUACAUUGGGAAUAGGUUAUGUACCAGGAAGAAGGAAGAAAUGGAGCCAAACCUGACAGUAGCGAAGUGCAGGGUUCAUUUCAGACAGCACUAGAUAAAGGUUAGCUGGUGUGACUGCCACUUGCUUUGUUCCAGUCUAUAUCCUACUUCAAACUGUAAUGCUUUAUUCUUGUGGAACCA